UACGUAGGGUGCGAGCGUUAAUCGGAAUUACUGGGCGUAAAGAGUGUGUAGGCGGUGUUCCAAGUCUGGUGUGAAAUCUCCCGGCUUAACUGGGAGGGUGCAUUAGAAACUGGAAUGCUAGAGGAUGGGAGAGGUAAGCGGAAUUCCUGGUGUAGCGGUGAAAUGCGUAGAUAUCAGGAGGAACACCUGUGGUGUAGACAGCUUACUGGACCAUUUCUGACGCUGAGACACGAAAGCGUGGGUAGCAAACAGG
rnacentral:rRNA from 1 species